rnacentral:lncRNA from 1 species
UCAUCGGGCUCAAUCUCGGUUCUCCGGUCUAAAAGAUCGAAAACCGACUUCAUCGCUCGACCGCCCUUGAUGAAAUCAGGAGCAAGAGUUAGAGUCUCGGCAGCGCCAUUCGCGGAGACCAUGAGAACCAUGAACACCCGUAUAGUCUUUGAGAAGUCGGAGAUACCGUGCUUAACGAGCCAAGAUGCAUACCAAAGGCCAAUAGCAUAAGAAGCAUAGAGCAGAAACUGAGCUAUCCCGAAUCCAAUCCCGGCUAUCUGUCCCUUCCAGAAACAUCUGCGAAGCGGCUUCUCGAGACUUAUCGUAAAAAGGUUGACGAUUUUCGCCUCAGAGUUGAACGCAGCCACCGUUCUCAUAUUGGCUACCGCCUCCCCUGCUAACUGUGUUGCUUUCGCAUGAGCACCUUCCAAGUCGCCCGAAAAUCCUUGCAUAAACAUUUUCUACCUGCAAAACAGUAGCUGCAACCACCAGUGGGAAAACAGCAACAAGAACAAGUGCUAGACGCCACUGAAGGACAAAACCGGCGGUGCAGGCCACCAACAUGAGCGCCGAAUUCUGCAUAAUCACCGAAAUCCGAUCACCGAUUGCCGACCGGACAUUAUUAGCAUCGAGAGACAACCUAGCCGCAAUUCUUGAGCUCUCAUUCUCCUCCUGAUCGAACCACGCCAUUUCAUUCCUCAAAACGGCAGCCAGCAUUUUCUCUCGAACCCGUUUAGUCAAUACACGCUGAGGACAGCACUUAGGACGUAAGCGAAAAAGGCGCUGAGUGACCCGCAAAUCACGGACCCCACCGAGCCGAUCAAGGCGUAUGUCCAUUCGGGUGAGUUCAUUUUUGCUAGCCUCCAGAAGGAACUUGCUUGCAUCUUAAACGGGAGCUUCUCGUGGCGGUAACUAGGAUAUCCACCUUCGAUUGAUAGGCUGAAGUCCGAUGUCGAGAAAUCUGAUAACCGUCGGGAGUAUGGU